rnacentral:rRNA from 1 species
ACGCUCGACACCUACGGGGGCAGCAGUGGGGAAUAUUGCACAAUGGGGGAAACCCUGAUGCAGCGACGCCGCGUGAAGGAAGAAGUAUUUCGGUAUGUAAACUUCUAUCAGCAGGGAAGAAAAUGACGGUACCUGACUAAGAAGCCCCGGCUAACUACGUGCCAGCAGCCGCGGUAAUCUGAGCGGGCUGGCAAGGC